UAUAAUUUACAAGGAAACUCUGAAGAAGACCAAAAUGCUUCUAACUGUGGCUCACUUUUAGAGUAGUCACCCUUUUCUCCUCCAAGCAAAUCUUCAGAGCCAAACAGGAAGACAUUAUUUUCUUAUGUCCGCAAUUCUCCUUCUCAUCCUUUCUCUCCUGAUCCAGUACUUUCAUUUCUAAACCUGCUUCAAUUUAAUGCCAAUGAUUAGCAAUUUCAAGCUUCCUGUUUAUUCCCAUAAACACUAAAUAUUUCCAAUUAAAAUUACAUGAGAUAAAUGUAGAUGAAAUUUACACCAAACUAAUUGGGCACAAAUUAAAUUUUUAAUUCAUUUGUUGCAAGAAUAUACAUUGAUCAACGAAAUAAGAAUUGUUUCAGAUACUAAUCAAAAGAAUGAGAAAGGAAAAGUUGGGUGGAGUGGGCUAAGACAAGAAAAAUCUUCAAAAAGAAAAUUUAGGAAUUCAAGCAGAAAGCAAAAGGUCAUGAGUUUGAUAAAAUCAAGAUAGCUAAUAGAAUUUUUAAUAGAAUGUGAAAUAGUCAUGAACUUACAACUAACACAAAGAGCAAGAGAGAUUUUGAGAGAGUGGAUCCUAAAUUAAUCUCAUGAUAUCAGUUUCUAUGAGCCCCAAGCCUAUAGAGCUUAUAAAGCCUUAUUACAAAAGUCUCCAGCCACAUAGAAAGACAAUAGGACCAAAAGUAGCAUUAACUGCGCAUGCAUCAUGUAACCAGGUCAAGGUAUACAAAACGAAAAGGAAAAAUGUAAAAAAUGGAAUAACCUAGAAUGUUCCAGAGGAACACAACACCUUAUGCAUAUACAUCUUGCCCAGUGUUUGUGAGCCACAGAACAAUAGUUACAUUUGAGGCUUUUUUAGAGGUCUGGACUCAUCAAAUAGAACGGAGGUCUUGCAUUGUCCAACUAGUGCACCAUAUGGCCCACAACCCACUAAAACUGAAGCUGAUGGACUACAUAGAUGUUUGAGAAUUUGAAAGUAUAUAUAUUGAUGUAUUGGAACACUUUCGAAUCUCAUGACCAAAAAUAUAUCCCAGAGUUGAGGAAUUAUUCAAGGUUGACUAAAUCAAUCCAUUGAGAGACAAAUUAAUUUGAAGGGAUGAGAAAGGAGAAUGUUAUUACAAUCAAUAUUGUAUACAGGAAAAAACAAUCAAGAAGACAUCGAUUUCUCUAUUACCAACACACAACAUUUGCAUGUUAGGACAGAUUACAAAAUAAUAUUUUUAGAUCUUGAUCAAAAAUCAAAGUUAGCUUGUGGCUUCCGCACAUUACUUAAUGAAAAGACUAACAAUAUCAUAUGCUGCAUUUAUUCAAUUAAUACACAAUCAAGACAGAUUAGGGAAUCUAAAAUGGAGCUUAGAGUUCAUCGAUUGAGAUCUUAUCAAACUCAACCAAUCACAUGAAAUGAUCUUGAUCUUUCACAAGGAAAAAGCAAAAUCACAACCAUGAAAGAAAAACAAAUUAACCAAAAAAAUCUGCAAGUAAACAAUGAACAAUGAAAUCACAAGCAUGCCAAUUGCCAACAAGCCCAUUCUUCUGUAAAUUCUUUUUUCUCUUUCGUACGAAACCAAUAAAACAUGAAAAACUCCAAAAAUAAAAAGUUUGAUUUCUGUUUGUGGCUCAAGAACAUGAAUAGAAUCCAAAAAAAUAAAAGAUAAAAGGUGGGAAUUUCUGUUAAAAUUGCUCAACAACACAAAAGCCAAAGAACUGGGAAUUAGCAAACUUGGUAUAAUCAAAAGUAUACACAAAGCAGAAUAGAACCUGUGAAAGGGAAAAUUACUUUUGCAAAUGGGUAUGAACAGAAUCAAGGGAAACGGAACAUAGAAGAACCCAAACAAAUGGGAGUUAUUAAGUAGCUGAACGACCUACAUUUCAACACAUCUCCCAAGUUCUCAAUCAAUCUGAAGAAAUAACAACAACCCACAUAGAUACUGCAAUCAAUCUUGAAUCAAAGAAAAAGAAAAUCAAAUCCAACAACAAAAACAAACCAUUAGCAAAGAAAAAGCUACCUAUCAGUAGAGUUUUCACCAGAAGAAACCGUCAUUGUAUCACAGGUAGUUAAGAAAAAUUUCCACUAUUUUCUAUCCAAAAAUUGAAUUUCAAGAGGUGGGUGUUGGAGAGAAAAUCAGAGAGAAGAAGGCGAUGGCGGAUGUGAAUAAAAAUAAGGGAGAAUUCACUCUGGUGACAUGGCAUUUCAAGUUUACCAGCCGUGAAACCCA
rnacentral:lncRNA from 1 species